UAACACCCGCGCCUUGAGUGGUGGUCGUUAUUACUGAGCCUAAAGCGUCCGCAGCCGGCCUCGUAAAUCCUUGGGUAAAUCGGGCCGCUUAACGGUUCGACUUCCGAGGACACUGCGAGGCUUGGGACCGGGUGAGGCGAGAGGUACUCCCGGGGUAGGGGUAAAAUCCUGUAAUCCUGGGAGGACUACCGGUUGCGAAGGCGUCUCGCUAGAGCGGAUCCGACGGUAAGGGACGAAGGCCUGGGGCGCAAACGGGAUUAGAUACCCCGGUAGUCCAGGCUGUAAACGCUGCGAGCUUGGUGUUGGGGCUCCUACGGGGGUCCCAGUGCCGUAGCGAAGGUGUUAAGCUUGCCGCUUGGGGAGUACGGCCGCAAGGCUG
rnacentral:rRNA from 1 species